rnacentral:rRNA from 2 species
CUGCAGUCGAAGGUGACGACGGGGCUUGCUCUGUCUGAUCAGUGGCGAACGGGUGAGUAACACGUGAGUAACCUGCCCCCGACUCUGGAAUAACCGUGGGAAACGACGGCUAAUACCGGAUAUGAGACGCACGGGCAUCUGUGUGUCUGGAAAGAUUUAUCGGUCAGGGAUGGACUCGCGGCCUAUCAGCUUGUUGGUGGGGUAAUGGCCCACCAAGGCGACGACGGGUAGCCGGCCUGAGAGGGCGACCGGCCACACUGGGACUGAGAUACGGCCCAGACUCCUACGGGAGGCAGCAGUGGGGAAUAUUGCACAAUGGGCGCAAGCCUGAUGCAGCGACGCCGCGUGAGGGAUGAAGGCCUUCGGGUUGUAAACCUCUUUCAGCAGGGAAGAAGCGAAAGUGACGGUACCUGCAGAAGAAGCGCCGGCUAACUACGUGCCAGCAGCCGCGGUAAUACGUAGGGCGCAAGCGUUGUCCGGAAUUAUUGGGCGUAAAGAGCUCGUAGGCGGUUUGUCGCGUCUGCUGUGAAAACCUGAGGCUCAACCUCGGGCUUGCAGUGGGUACGGGCAGACUAGAGUGCGGUAGGGGUGACUGGAAUUCCUGGUGUAGCGGUGGAAUGCGCAGAUAUCAGGAGGAACACCGAUGGCGAAGGCAGGUCACUGGGCCGCAACUGACGCUGAGGAGCGAAAGCAUGGGGAGCGAACAGGAUUAGAUACCCUGGUAGUCCAUGCCGUAAACGUUGGGCACUAGGUGUGGGGCUCAUUCCACGAGUUCCGUGCCGCAGCAAACGCAUUAAGUGCCCCGCCUGGGGAGUACGGCCG